UACAUGGGGUGCAAACGUUGCUCGGAAUUAUUGGGCGUAAAGAGCUCGUAGGCGGUUUGUCGCGUCUGCCGUGAAAGUCCGGGGCUCAACUCCGGAUCUGCGGUGGGUACGGGCAGACUAGAGUGAUGUAGGGGAGACUGGAAUUCCUGGUGUAGCGGUGAAAUGCGCAGAUAUCAGGAGGAACACCGGUGGCGAAGGCGGGUCUCUGGGCCGAUACUGACGCUGAGGAGCGAAAGCGUGGGGAGCGAACAGG
rnacentral:rRNA from 1 species